UCCUUUGUUGCCAAUAGUUAAGGCACUUGGCUGUUAACUGAAAGGCUGGAGGUUCGAGUCCACCCAGAGGCA
rnacentral:tRNA from 1 species